rnacentral:rRNA from 1 species
UUUAGAUGGCGACCGGCGCACGGGUGAGUAACACGUAGUCCAACCUGCCGAUGACUCGGGGAUAGCCUUUCGAAAGAAAGAUUAAUACCCGAUGGCAUAGUUCUUCCGCAUGGUAGAACUAUUAAAGAAUUUCGGUCAUCGAUGGGGAUGCGUUCCAUUAGCUUGUUGGCGGGGUAACGGCCCACCAAGGCAUCGAUGGAUAGGGGUUCUGAGAGGAAGGUCCCCCACAUUGGAACUGAGACACGGUCCAAACUCCUACGGAAGGCAGCAG